UUGGAAUUUCCCUCAGCAGCACUU
rnacentral:misc_RNA from 1 species